CGGAAUCUGCCUAUCUGUGGGGGAUAACGUAGGGAAACUUACGCUAAUACCGCAUACGACCUACGGGUGAAAGCGGAGGACCUUCGGGCUUCGCGCAGAUAGAUGAGCCGAUGUCGGAUUAGCUAGUUGGCGGGGUAAAGGCCCACCAAGGCGACGAUCCGUAGCUGGUCUGAGAGGAUGAUCAGCCACACUGGAACUGAGACACGGUCCAGACUCCUACGGGAGGCAGCAGUGGGGAAUAUUGGACAAUGGGCGCAAGCCUGAUCCAGCCAUGCCGCGUGGGUGAAGAAGGCCUUCGGGUUGUAAAGCCCUUUUGUUGGGAAAGAAAAGCAGCCGGUUAAUACCCGGUUGUUCUGACGGUACCCAAAGAAUAAGCACCGGCUAACUUCGUGCCAGCAGCCGCGGUAAUACGAAGGGUGCAAGCGUUACUCGGAAUUACUGGGCGUAAAGCGUGCGUAGGUGGUUUGUUAAGUCUGAUGUGAAAGCCCUGGGCUCAACCUGGGAAUUGCAUUGGAUACUGGCAGGCUAGAGUGCGGUAGAGGGUAGUGGAAUUCCCGGU
rnacentral:rRNA from 1 species